GGUCGGGUGGCGUAAUGGUAGCGCGUUACUUUCCGGUAUUGAUAGCCAUCAACUCCCACCUGGUAAAGGCUCUGGGUUCGAAUCCCAGCUCAAUCG